rnacentral:tRNA from 1 species
AGUAAGGUCAGCUAAAAAAGCUUUUGGGCCCAUACCCCAACCAUGAAGGUUUUAACCCCUCCUUUACUA